ACUCUUUGCAACCAACAAAAGACACCUUUUCAUCAUUGACAUGGACUCCAGCGGUGUUUGGAUUAACUCCUCUGAGACUCUACCUCCAGCCCAAAACCAGGAGAGGCCACGUGAUAAUUCUCAUGCGACAGAGGACGAGAACAUCUGGUUUAGCGGCCAAUAUAGCCAUCUCCAACCAUCUUUCUUGGAGGAACUCGAAAACGUCCACUGGUCAGAGGGAUGGGACAGUGUUGCUCCUUACUCUGAGAACCUUGGAUCCAACCAACUGAUUUUCUCCAGAAACGCCGGCCUCAAUAAGUUCAGCGCCAGGGUAGAUGGAGACACACAAAACCUACUUUUUAAUGCAGUGCUGGGAAGGGAGCAUACAAGUACACCUGCCGGUGAGCCAGCUCCU